AUGCUUACCUGGCAGGAGAGAUACUAUGAUCACAAAGGUGGUUUUCCCAGGGUGAGGCUCAUUCAUUGCACCCCGGAUUUGCUGGCCCCUGUGAUGUCCCCAAAUGUGGAAACUUGACUGCAUAAUUUGUGGUAGUGGGGGACUGAAUUAGCAAUUUUCCCUG